CGGCAAACUCGAUCACUAGCUUUGCAUGAUGUUGCCAAUGCAAGGGGAACCAAGUUUGCUAUAGCAAGUUGGGUGGAAAUCUCAGCCUUGGAAAUGGAUUACUGAGGCUGACUCUUCUAAUCCAAAACACAA